rnacentral:rRNA from 1 species
CAGUAGCCACGGUAAUACAGAGGGUGCAAGCGUUAAUCGGAGUUACUGGGCGUAAAGGGCGCGUAGGCGGUUAUAUAAGUGAGAUGUGAAAUCCCUGGGCUUAACCUAGGAACUGCAUCUUAUACUGUAUGGCUAGAGUAUUGUAGAGGGUAGUGGAAUUUCCGGUGUAGCGGUGAAAUGCGUAGAGAUCGGAAGGAACACCAGUGGCGAAGGCGGCUACCUGGACAAAUACUGACGCUGAGGCGCGAAAGCGUGGGGAGCAAACAGGAUUAGAUACCCCGGUAGUCCCUGUCUCUUAUAC